GAGUAUGUGGCUUAAUUUGACUCAACGCGGAAAAGCUUAUCUGGUCCGGACGCAGUGAGGAUUGACAGACAGUUUCAGGAGUGGUUCUUGGUAAACAAUUGAGAGAGUUGAAGUUCUUUCAUGAUCUUGUGAGAGGUGGUGCAUGGCCGUUCUUAGUUCGUGUAGUGAUAUGUCUGCCUAAUCGCGUCACGAUAACCUAUUGGUCGACAACCCAAUUAUCACAACUGCAGCAUAACUCCCCUUGGGUGGGCGAGGCUCUGUGUAGGAUAGACCUCUGAACAGUACGCAACGAACGCGAUCGUAAUCCCUUGUUGAGUGGCCAUCCUGUAAGCUGCUGGAUUAGGAACCCAGUGGUAUUAUCUCAGCCACAGAUUUUCUGGUUGUAAUGGGCCAGUUUUGAAACUCGGGGAACAUCUGUGACUUUCUUUCUUAACGCAGAGGAAGGUUAUGGCAAUAACAGG
rnacentral:rRNA from 1 species